rnacentral:tRNA from 1 species
UAUCAAAUAAAGGAAUUUCACCUUUGGUAGAUGAUCCUAAAUCAACUGCAUUAACUUUGCUAAUUCGAU